AUUGAACGCUGGCGGCAUGCUUUACACAUGCAAGUCGAACGGCAGCACGGGAGCAAUCCUGGUGGCGAGUGGCGAACGGGUGAGUAAUAUAUCGGAACGUGCCCAGUCGUGGGGGAUAACGCAGCGAAAGCUGUGCUAAUACAGCAUACGAUCUAUGGAUGAAAGCGGGGGACCGUAAGGCACCGCGCGAUUGGAGCGGCCGAUAUCAGAUGAGGUAGUUGGUGGGGUAAAGGCCUACCAAGCCGACGAUCUGUAGCUGGGCUGAGAGGACGAACAGGCACGAUGGACAUAAGACAGAGCCAAGACUCCUACGGGAGGGAGCAGUUGGGAAUUUUGGACAAUGGGCGCAAGCCUGAUCCAGCAAUGCCGCGUGCAGGAUGAAGGCCUUCGGGUUGUAAACUGCUUUUGUACGGAGCGAAAAGGCUCUCUCUAAUACAGGGAGUUGAUGACGGUACCGUAAGAAUAAGCACCGGCUAACUACGUGCCAGCAGCCGCCGUAA
rnacentral:rRNA from 1 species